UGAAAUAACAAGACAAUUCAUCCAAAAAUGUGC
rnacentral:sRNA from 1 species